GUAGUUUUCUGGACCCACGGGACGGGCAGGAGCUGGAGCUCCGUGCCGCCUGUACUCCCGCCUUCAUUUCCCAUCGUGCUGAGGCGGGUGGCAUGGCGGAGAAGGAUGACACCGGAGUUUGACGAAGAGGUGGUUUUUGAGAAUUCUCCACUUUACCAAUACUUACAGGAUCUGGGACACACAGACUUUGAAAUAUGUUCUUCUUUGUCACCAAAAACAGAAAAAUGCACAACAGAGGGACAACAAAAGCCUCCUACAAGAGUCCUACCAAAAUACCUGGGAUAUAGUAAUCACUCAAUGAAUAUAAACUGCACUUACUGGCAUGCUCAAGGAAUGGGCUAUUAAGCAAGGUAUCCUGUUAAAAGUGGCUGAAACCAUCAAAAGUUGGAUUUUUUUUUCUCAGUGCAAUAAGAAAGAUGACUUACUUCACAAGUUGGUGGAGCCAUCUCAUUCUUCAGUGAUACUAGGACUGUGGUAAGGAUAUUGGAUUCCGACUCGACUCAUUACAUACCAUCCUGCAACAGGAAGUCCUGUUACAAGAGGAUGUGGAGCUGAUUGAGCUACUUGAUCCCAGUAUCCUGUCUGCAGGGCAAUCUCAACAACAGGAAAAUGGACACCUUCCAACACUUUGCUCCCUGGCAACCCCUA
rnacentral:lncRNA from 1 species